CAGUCGCCGCGGUAAUACGUAGGUGGCGAGCGUUGUCCGGAAUCAUUGGGCGUAAAGGGAGCGCAGGCGGGCAUAUAAGUCUUUCUUAAAAGUUCGGGGCUCAACCCCGUGAUGGGAAAGAAACUAUAUGUCUUGAGUACAGGAGAGGAAAGCGGAACUCCCAGUGUAGCGGUGAAAUGCGUAGAUAUUGGGAGGAACACCAGUGGCGAAGGCGGCUUUCUGGACUGCAACUGACGCUGAGGCUCGAAAGCCAGGGGAGCGAACGGGAUUAGAUACCCCAGUAGUCCCUGUCUCUUAUACA
rnacentral:rRNA from 1 species